UUUCAAGAGGGGCCCUGAAGCAGGGGGGCUGUUUUGGGACAAAGUAGCUCAAGCUGUGCAUUCCCUCCAAAUGAUUAAGCUUAAGAACACACAGAUGAGUCAUUUGAACAGCGUUUAAAACUCAGCCAUGGCCAAAUUUAAUGCAUCACUUGGACUGAGUAAUCGGGACAUCUCACAAAUCUCAGAAGCAAGUGAGAGCAGAAUCUGGAGCCUGCUCUUUGUAUUUCAGCAGCUCGCACUCCAAAUCUAUUUGCAAACAGAUACUGAGAAGCCCGAAAGAGAAUACUUUACAUCUUAAAUCAACUGGAAGGCAUCUAAAGCCAAGGGAUUGAAACGUCUGCUUUCAUUCCUAGAAAGAGGUGAGUCACUUGACAGGGCUACAUACUUCUCAAUAUGAUUUACACUUCUGCCAUUUUUAAAGGCAAAAUACAAACAAGCUUACUAUGCCUUCCCCAAAUUCAACUUCAGCAGCAACUGGAAAGUGGAACUGGACAUAAACAAGAGCUUGGAUCCAAACAGCCUCCAAACUUGGAUCUGCCUGAACUCUGCAGCAUACCUCACUGUAUGCCUGGCCUAAAUGAAACACCAGAGUGACCCCAUGGAAACUAGCCCUUGCUUCGAUAGCUUCAAACUCAAACCUCUCAAACUGUGCUGGUGGAAAAUAUUCUGAUUAAUUCCUCACAUAAACAGCCAAUUUAUAAACACAAGCACCAGACUGAAGGGAACAGUAAUACAACAGGGCUUCAUGGAAAAGAGGAGACAAAGAGGACUACUUGAGUGCAUCCACCUCUGAACCUCAACACCUGAAUAGAUCUUGCUUGGAACCAGCAAUGGGGCAUUUCAUGCUGAUCAGCAUUGACCAAUGUGAUCCAACAGAUGCAUAUUUAAGUCCCCAUCCCAACUCCAAGCAACAAGAAAUGAGAGCUGGAAGGGACAACUUGGGUCACCCAGGCCCGUUCCACGAUCUCACAGCCAGCAACAUCACGCAACCCCUUUCCUUGAAAGGGUCAAGGAGCCAUGCAAAACUUUUUCCCUAGGUUUCCAAAUUGUGGAUCCGUCUCUCAUUUUAAACACUCGGGUAACAAAAAUUCACUUUGCCAGCAGGACUUUACAAUUAAAUCUCUUUCUUCUACUUGCUGUUGUUUUCCUCUCCAGGCCACAUGAUCUAUGCUGCUUCUUUCAUCCAUUCAAUUAAAAAAUUCUGGCUUGAACAGUCAACUUCGAUUGUCUGUUUGACCUUUCUAUUUGCCUUGUACAUACUUAACACAAAAGAAUGGGAAAGUAACAUCCUGUUUAGAAUCUUGGAUCUCCACACCCUCAGCAAUGAAUCAGUGAACUUGGCAUGAGUGCCUAGCACGUUAACAAGCCUGACGGACUUUCAGAACAUGUCAUCAUCAAUCCAAAAAGACAAUACAGAACGUAAGUAAGCUUGCACUGAAUCAUGUCCUCCUCAAUGUUCAAAUUCUAAUUACAGUUAGAAAGCUAAGGUUAUCCUGCUCCCCACAGGGGAAACAUAAAGGAAAGAAAAGGCCACGUUUUACUUCUUAUGAGAACAAGAACAGCACCAAAUGAAGAAUAGUGUUGUAGAGAAGAUUUGCAGAUUGCUCUGGUGC
rnacentral:lncRNA from 1 species